UGAGGAAUUUUGCGCAAUGGGGGAAACCCUGACGCAGCAACGCCGCGUGAGUGAAGAAGGCUUUCGGGUCGUAAAGCUCUGUCAAGUGGGAAAAACGUCUCCCCGUCAACAGCGGGGAGGCCUGAUGGUACCACUGGAGGAAGCACCGGCUAACUCCGUGCCAGCAGCCGCGGUAAUACGGCGGGUGCAAGCGUUGUUCGGAAUUACUGGGCGUAAAGAGCGUGUAGGCGGCAAGGUAAGUCAGGCGUGAAAUCCCUGGGCUUAACCCAGGAAGUGCGUUUGAAACUGCCUCGCUUGAGUAUGGGAGAGGAGAGUGGAAUUCCCGGUGUAGAGGUGAAAUUCGUAGAUAUCGGGAGGAACACCCGUGGCGAAGGCGACUCUCUGGACCAAUACUGACGCUGAGACGCGAAAGCGUGGGGAGCAAACA
rnacentral:rRNA from 1 species